CCAUUUCACUAGGGGUGCCGAGAAUUUUCGGCUGAGAUAAACCCUUUGAACCUGAACAGGCUAGCACCUGCGUAGGGAAUGUGAGAAGCUCUUCAU
rnacentral:ncRNA from 2 species